UGGGUGAUCUGCCCUGCACUUCGGGAUAAGCUUGGGAAACUGGGUCUAAUACCGGAUAGGACUACGAAUCGCAUGGUUUGUGGUGGAAAGCUUUUGCGGUGUGGGAUGGGCCCGCGGCCUAUCAGCUUGUUGGUGGGGUGAUGGCCUACCAAGGCGACGACGGGUAGCCGGCCUGAGAGGGUGUCCGGCCACACUGGGACUGAGAUACGGCCCAGACUCCUACGGGAGGCAGCAGUGGGGAAUAUUGCACAAUGGGCGCAAGCCUGAUGCAGCGACGCCGCGUGGGGGAUGACGGCCUUCGGGUUGUAAACCUCUUUCACCAUCGGCGAAGCCCCGGGUUUUUGUCUGGGGUGACGGUAGGUGGAGAAGAAGCACCGGCCAACUACGUGCCAGCAGCCGCGGUAAUACGUAGGGUGCGAGCGUUGUCCGGAAUUACUGGGCGUAAAGAGCUCGUAGGUGGUUUGUCGCGUUGUCCGUGAAAUUCCCUGGCUUAACUGGGGGCGUGCGGGCGAUACGGGCAGACUGGAGUACUGCAGGGGAGACUGGAAUUCCUGGUGUAGCGGUGGAAUGCGCAGAUAUCAGGAGGAACACCGGUGGCGAAGGCCGGGUCUCUGGGCAGUAACUGACGCUGA
rnacentral:rRNA from 1 species